GCCAGUGUGGCGUAGUGGUUUGAGUGUUGGACUAUGACUCUGGAGACCAGCAUUCAAAUCCCAGCUCAGCCA
rnacentral:tRNA from 1 species